rnacentral:rRNA from 1 species
UACGGGGGGGGCAAGCGUUGUUCGGAAUUACUGGGCGUAAAGCGCACGUAGGCGGCUUGGUAAGUUAGAGGUGAAAGCCCGGAGCUCAACUCCGGAAUUGCCUUUAAGACUGCCGAGCUAGCAGGUGAGAGAGGUGAGUGGAAUUCCGGAGUGUAGAGGUGAAAUGCGUAGAUAUUCGCAAGAACACCAGUAGCGAAGGCGGCUCACUGGCCCGAUACUGACGCUGAGGUGCGAAAGCGUGGGGAGCAAACAGG